ACGGAGGGUGCAAGCGUUAUUCGGAAUUACUGGGCGUAAAGCGCACGUAGGCCGCUUUGUAAGUCAGGGGUGAAAUCCCACGGCUCAACCGUGGAACUGCCCUUGAAACUGCGAAGCUUGAAUCCUGGAGAGGGUGGCGGAAUUCCUGGUGUAGGAGUGAAAUCCGUAGAUAUCAGGAGGAACACCGGUGGCGAAGGCGGCCACCUGGACAGGUAUUGACGCUGAGGUGCGAAAGUGUGGGGAGCAAACAG
rnacentral:rRNA from 1 species